CCUACGGGAGGCAGCAGUGGGGAAUAUUGGGCAAUGGACGCAACUCUGACCCAGCAACGCCGCGUGAAUGAUGAAGGUCUUCGGAUUGUAAAGUUCUUUUGUAAGGGAAGAAGCAAGUGACGGUACCUUAGGAAUAAGCCUCGGCUAACUACGUGCCAGCAGCCGCGGUAAUACGUAGGUGGCAAGCGUUAUCCGGAUUGACUGGGCGUAAAGGGUGCGUAGGUGGGACUGCAAGUUAGAUGCGAAAAUCACGGGCUCAACGUCUGAACUGCAACUAAAACUGUUGGUCUUGAGUGCUGGAGAGGCAGUCGGAAUUCCUAGUGUAGCGGUGGAAUGCGUAGAUAUUAGGAGGAACACCAGUGGCGAAGGCGGAUUGCUGGACUGUAACUGACGCUGAGGCACGAAAGCGUGGGGAGCAAACAGGAUUAGAUACCCGUGUAGUC
rnacentral:rRNA from 1 species